UACGGGGGGGGCAAGCGUUGUUAGGAAUUACUGGGCGUAAAGGGCUCGUAGGCGGCCAACUAAGUCUGACGUGAAAUCCCUCGGCUUAACCGGGGAACUGCGUCCGAUACUGGAUGGCUUGAGUGUGGGAGAGGGAUGCGGAAUUCCAGGUGUAGCGGUGAAAUGCGUAGAUAUCUGGAGGAACACCGGUGGCGAAGGCGGCAUCCUGGACCACGACUGACGCUGAGGAGCGAAAGCCAGGGGAGCAAACGGG
rnacentral:rRNA from 1 species